rnacentral:lncRNA from 1 species
AAACCUACGUUCUGACAAGUGACAAGCAUGAACCAUCGCUUCAGAUUCGAGAAAGGAUGCCUUGUCUCGAGGUAUUUUUUUUUUCAUGAGUUCUGUGCUUCGGUUGCUUCCAUGUGUGUGGUGAUUCCACUUCUCAUCUCUAUCAUUCCAUAUUAUUAAGAAAAUUAUAUCUUGCGUUUCCAUACGAUAUGUGCACGCGGACGCCUCGGAUAAUGGCGAAGGACUGGAGGGGAUUAUAGAGUGCGACAGGUAGGACUUGGCGACUGGCGAUAAUAAUCUUCAGACGGCACCCGUCGUAGAUCUAUUGGCUCUUCUCUUGUCGACGGAAAAGAUACGGUUUCGUUCUUAUUCGCGGGCCACAAGAAACAAAAUCAAGCGAAACCGAUAGAAGACCGGCCCGGCCCGCAAGGGCAAGGUACCGUCCAGGUCAUGAUUGACUGUGUAUAUAUUAGCAAAUGAACUUCACAGCUUUACACUUUCGGUCAUGAUUAACUGUGUAUGUUCACAGCGUCCAGUCUGUGUGUGGGCCUUCGUGAGAUCACUCACUACUUGGCGCCGGCGGCCUCUUCCUCCCCCUCCUCUUCCUUCCAGACGGGAAGGAUGCCUUGCCCGGCCAGCCUCUUGUAAACCCAGAACACCACGUACUGGGAGGUUAUCCUCUUCU